UGAAAGUCAUCUUCCAGGACCUUGGCCCAAAGAGUUUCAUGGAGUGUUGUGGGCAGAACCCAAAGUGUAGUUGACGACUGGAUGAAUGAGCAGUGACAGACAGGAGACCACUUUCAACAAGUCUGGUUGUGGAAGGGGACAGCAAUAGGUCAGGAUGGGGGUCAAGGAGCAGUGUCAGAUCCAGAAAAGUCUCGCUUCAAUGGGGAAACAGAGUUGAGCUUGUUUUCGAAUACAGACAUGGUAACAAAAGGAUGAAAAAUGUAAAGGAGGUAUUGAUGAAGUGAGACAAGGGUGGAAAUGAAAACAUUGCAAAUUCCCAAAGAAGAUUUAAAAGGUUACAAGUUGUUUUAUUUGGGGAUCUUAAUUAAGGACUGUAGCCUGGGAGAGAGCCUCUCAGAUAGCUCUGAAGAACUACUCUGAAGAGGUAAUUAACACAACGCUGCUACAAUACUUGGAUCAUACUAUCCAUGGGGACUUUAUUUUCUUAGGCUCAAUCUCUGCAGAUGGUGACUGCAGCCAUGAAAUUAAAAGACACUUGCUACUUGGAAGAAAAGCUAUGACCAACCUAGACAGCAUAUUAAA